rnacentral:rRNA from 1 species
GAUGAACGCUGGCGGCGUGCCUAAUACAUGCAAGUCGAGCGAACGGACGAGAAGCUUGCUUCUCUGAUGUUAGCGGCGGACGGGUGAGUAACACGUGGAUAACCUACCUAUAAGACUGGGAUAACUUCGGGAAACCGGAGCUAAUACCGGAUAAUAUUUUGAACCGCAUGGUUCAAAAGUGAAAGACGGUCUUGCUGUCACUUAUAGGUGGAUCCGCGCUGCAUUAGCUAGUUGGUAAGGUAACGGCUUACCAGGGCAACGAUGCAUAGCCGACCUGAGAGGGUGAUCGGCCACACUGGAACUGAGACACGGUCCAGACUCCUACGGGAGGCAGCAGUAGGGAAUCUUCCGCAAUGGGCGAAAGCCUGACGGAGCAACGCCGCGUGAGUGAUGAAGGUCUUCGGAUCGUAAAACUCUGUUAUUAGGGAAGAACAUAUGUGUAAGUAACUGUGCACAUCUUGACGGUACCUAAUCAGAAAGCCACGGCUAACUACGUG